GGGGGAUAUUGCGCAAUGGGGGAAACCCUGACGCAGCAACGCCGCGUGAAGGAUGAAGGUCUUCGGAUUGUAAACUUCUUUUAUUAAGGACGAAUAAAGUGACGGUACUUAAUGAAUAAGCUCCGGCUAACUACGUGCCAGCAGCCGCGGUAAUACGUAGGGAGCAAGCGUUGUCCGGAUUUACUGGGUGUAAAGGGUGCGUAGGCGGCUUUGCAAGUCAGAUGUGAAAUCUAUGGGCUCAACCCAUAGCCUGCAUUUGAAACUGCAGAGCUUGAGUGAAGUAGAGGCAGGCGGAAUUCCCCGUGUAGCGGUGAAAUGCGUAGAGAUGGGGAGGAACACCAGUGGCGAAGGCGGCCUGCUGGGCUUUAACUGACGCUGAGGCACGAAAGCGUGGGUAGCGAAC
rnacentral:rRNA from 1 species